rnacentral:rRNA from 1 species
AGCAGCCGCGGUAAUUCCAGCUCCAAUAGCGUAUAUUAAAGUUGUUGCAGUUAAAAAGCUCGUAGUUGAAUUUCGGGACCAAUUUGUUGGUCGUGCCUCGGUACGUACUGGUAUUAUUGGUUUCUCCCUUCUGAAGAACCUCGAUGCCAUUAGUUUGGUGUCGUGGGGAAUCAGGACUGUUACUUUGAAAAAAUUAGAGUGUUUAAAGCAAGCAUACGCUUGAAUACAUUAGCAUGGAAUAAUGAAAUAGGACGUUUGAUUCUAUUUUGUUGGUUUCUAGGAUCGACGUAAUGAUUAAUAGGGAUAGUUGGGGGCAUUAGUAUUCAAUUGUCAGAGGUGAAAUUCUUGGAUUUAUUGAAGACUAACUACUGCGAAAGCAUUUGCCAAGGAUGUUUUCAUUAAUCAAGAACGAAAGUUAGGGGAUCGAAGACGAUCAGAUACCGUCGUAGUCUUAACCAUAAACUAUGCCGACUAGGGAUCGGAUGAUGUUAAUUUUUAAUGACUCAUUCGGCGCCUUACG